UCUGUAGCUCAAUGGACAGAACAGCCGCCUUCUAAGCGGUCUGCCGCUGGUUCUAAUCCAGCCGGGAGAGCCA
rnacentral:tRNA from 1 species